rnacentral:rRNA from 1 species
UACGGGGGGGGCAAGCGUUGUUCGGAAUUACUGGGCGUAAAGCGUGCGCAGGCGGUUUUGUAAGCCAGAUGUGAAAUCCCCGGGCUUAACCUGGGAAUGGCAUUUGGGACUGCAAGGCUCGAGUGCGGCAGAGGAGACUGGAAUUCCUGGUGUAGCAGUGAAAUGCGUAGAGAUCCGGAGGAACACCAGAGGCGAAAGCGGCAUCCUGGCUCAUAGUUGACGCUCAGACACGAGAGCAUGGGGAGCGAACGGG